rnacentral:rRNA from 1 species
AGUGAACGCUGGCGGUAGGCCUAACACAUGCAAGUCGAACGGCAGCACAGUAAGAGCUUGCUCUUACGGGUGGCGAGUGGCGGACGGGUGAGGAAUACAUCGGAAUCUACUUUUUCGUGGGGGAUAACGUAGGGAAACUUACGCUAAUACCGCAUACGACCUACGGGUGAAAGCAGGGGAUCUUCGGACCUUGCGCGAUUGAAUGAGCCGGUGUCGGAUUAGCUAGUUGGCGGGGUAAAGGCCCACCAAGGCGACGAUCCGUAGCUGGUCUGAGAGGAUGAUCAGCCACACUGGAACUGAGACACGGUCCAGACUCCUACGGGAGGCAGCAGUGGGGAAUAUUGGACAAUGGGCGCAAGCCUGAUCCAGCCAUACCGCGUGAGUGAAGAAGACCUUCGGGUUGUAAAGCCCUUUUGUUGGGAAAGAAAAGCAGCAGGUUAAUACCCAGCUGUUCUGACGGUACCCAAAGAAUAAGCACCGGCUAACUUCGUG